AGAGAGAGACAUGCGCGCAUAUCAAUAAGCGGAGGAAAAGAAACUGACAAGGAUUCCCUUAGUAACGGCGAGUGAAGCGGGAAGAGCUCAAAUUUGAAAUCUUCAAGGUUUUACCUUGACGAAUUGUAGUUUAAAGAAGUGUUUUCUGCUGAAGUUUUGGUAAAAGUUCUUUGGAAUAGGACAUCAUAGAGGGUGAGAAUCCCGUAUUUGACCAUUAUUUUCAGCUUUGUGAUACACUUUCAAAGAGUCGGAUUGUUUGGGAAUGCAGUCCAAAAUGGGUGGCUAAAUUUCAUCUAAAGCUAAAUACUGGCGAGAGACCGAUAGCGAACAAGUACCGUGAGGGAAAGAUGAAAAGAACUUUGAAAAGAGAGUUAAACAGUACGUGAAAUUGUCAAAAGGGAAGCGUUUGACACCAGUGUUGUUUUCUCGAAAAUCAAUUAAAAAUGGCUCGAUUUUGUAUUGUUGAGACCUUAAAAGCUCACAAUUACAUUUUUCGUGUCUUUUUUAAUGCACUUUUCGUUUAACAAGUCAACAUCAGUUUCUUUUGUUGUAAAAGGGUCAUUGGAAGGUGGCUUUCUUUUCGGAGAAAGUGUUUAUAGCCUUUGGCCUCUGCAAUCGGAGAGACUGAGGUCUGCAGCGUAGACUCUUCGGGGUUAGAUACAUUUGUGCUAAGUUAUAGCUUUUUAUAGACAACUUGUUGACUAUAAUUAGUCUUGUAGCUUACUCGCUUAUGCUAUUUUACCUACGCUUAGGAUGUUGAAGUCAUCGUAUCGCGC
rnacentral:rRNA from 1 species